GACGAACGCUGGCGGCGUGCCUAAUACAUGCAAGUCGAACGCAGUGGGGACGGGUGAGUAACACGUGGGUAACCUCCCAUCAGAGGGGAUAACACUUGGAAACAGGUGCUAAACCGAUACUGAUGGAUGGACCCGCGUUGCAUUAGCUAGUUGGUGAGGUAACGGCUCACCAGGGCCACGAUGCAUAGCCGACCUGAAAGGGUGAACGGCCACACUGGGACUGAGAAACGGCCCAGACGCCAACGAGAGGCAGCAGUAGGGAAUCUUCGGCAAUGGAAGAAAGUCUGAACGAGCAACGCCGCGUGAGUGAAGAAGGUUUUCGGAUCGUAAAACUCUGGUGUUAGAGAAGCGGUAUCUAACAAGAAAGCCACGGCUAACUACGUGCCAGCAGACGCGGUAAUUC
rnacentral:rRNA from 1 species